UUUUUUUUUAAAGUUUUGUCCACUUGUCGAACGUAUGUGCAAAGAAAAGAAACCGGAACGAACAAAGGAAAUAGAUACGUACUUUUUUUUUGAGGGAAAAAUAGAUACGUACGUGUAAAGGAAACUUGAAACCUAAGGGAAGCAGCCGGCCGGCCGGCCCGUAUCUAUUUCUCAGUUGCCAAACGAAACAGAGCUGCCGGCCCAUAUGUCGAUUUUAUUUAUAGUUGCCAGCCAAUAUCGAGAGGACCCAUGGCAAAUUAAGGUUUCCUUGAGCGAAGAAAACAGCAGACGGCCAUUCAUGAAAACCUCAAAUGACUCGAAGGCCAGUAACUUCUCAAUCGGCCGAGACAACGGCAACGAGGGGAACUUUCAAAAGGUGCAGCCCCUCACUGGUCGCCGCCGCUGCACAUCGGCCACGGACGACGGCGAGGAGGUGAAACGGCCGAUGGGGAGGUGAGCCUGCCGUGCUUUGUGUUUCACGUUUAGUAAUCAUGCCACGGUCGAAUACCACCGAACAGGGCCGAUUGUGCAUGCACGUCAUCGUCGCCAUGGCCAUGCUAAGCAAAGAAAGAAGAGACAAGACAAGCAUCAUGCAUCAAUACAUGCUACGUCUAUCCUAAUCUGACAUGCAUAAUAUCUCUUUCUAGGUAUCUAAGGAAAUUACGAGCAUGCAUGCAUGGCUCAACCCGCAGGGUGCAAUCACUUGCUUUAUUUAUACUGACAUUACUUAGUCUUCAGUUUCUCGCAAAAGAAAAGUUAGUCUUGAGGCGGCUAAAAAAAUUAGGUGCUUUAAUACAAAUUAACACAGAUUUAUUUUGUGCAGACCACCUUCAUUGUGGGGAGUCAUGUGUGUUGUUUAACGUACUGCUUGGUAAUCGUGUGUUACAGAUAGGAAUGGUAUCAAAUAAUUACAUAUUAAGUGGUCAUGGUCAACUAAAUUGCUUAAAUGUGAUUGUUAUAUGAUAACUUUUUGUGUGUAAAGUUCAUUCCGGAAUCACUGAUUGAUGGACGAAAUUAUGAUGUCAAAUUUUUAUUCACAAUCUGGUCGGUGAAAUUGCUUAAACAUGGUUAUCAAAUCAGACAUCUAUGUUCUGAAGGUUUUAGCUGUAUCAUAUAUUUAGUUUAUUUAUCAACAUUGUUUCCCAUUGCAAUGCGCUGGCAUUUAACUAGAAACCUACAAAUAGAGAUUUUUAUAUAUAUACAAGUCAGAAGUUGCUAUACAUAUGCCUACGGAAGAUAAGAUUCCACAGCAGCAAUCAAACAAACUUUAAAUGUUCAUGCCAAUUAAUUUUUUAUACCUAUUACUAAAUUUCCCCUACUAUAGUUUGUUGUUCUUUCAUCGGAUAUUUUAGCAAUAUAUAGAUAUCACACCGGUCGCCUGGCAAAAGCCAGUGAAGACAGGCCAACAAAUGUUCUAACUUGAAAAUUCUCAAAAGUUCUUUCAUUUCUACACAUUCGCACAUCCCGAUUCUCACAGCCUAUUCUUUUUUCUCCCGUUGCAACGCACGGGCAUGUUUCCUAGUGAUGAACAAAUUGUGAUACACUAAUGCAGUACCACUUGGCUAAACGAUAGAGAAAUUCUCAACACCAUGGCACGCUGAGUGACUUGCUCUAAUUUUAAUCUAUCCAACCACCUCGGUUUAUUCCUUUAUGUCGAGCUUACUUACUUUAUUUGAAUAAUUCAUGAGGUCAAAUAUUUGAUGAAUUAUUUUCGGCACUGAACCAUGCACUAUUGUAUUGUUUUGGAUUUCACGGCUCAACCGAGCAGCGCGCGCCAAGGCGCGAUGCCUAUCUAGUUCAUGUGGUGGGUAGUCAACUAGUCAUCAUCUCAUGAAAGUAGUUCCAACAUGCCGACGUGUAGUCAAAAGCAUCAGGAUAAGUGGGUACGUUCGAAUUGUCCAGACAAACGCCCUAUUUUGGCUCCUCUCAGUUGCCAAUCCACAAGAUUUCAGAAAUCAACAUCAAACAAUGAGAAGCAAUCCCCCAAGCUAAGGCGUGCAAACAAGAUGUAGAUCAAGAAAGUAACACUAUACAAAAUGCACGAGAAGUAAUUGAAUCGAUUGGGCCAAAACUCGAAAGACAAACAGCAAGCUGCAGCAGCCCUGCAGCACCAAGGCUGUAGAGGCAAAGUGAACCUUUGGAGGCAAGCAAUGUAACUAUAUAGUUCAACAGAGCACAUCAUCAUUCUGAAGGAAAUAGCACAGUAUAGCAUUUCUGCAAAACUCAUGAUAGCAACCUACACCGAAUAUCUUCUUGACAUGAAUAAAGACCCAACCCAGACUACUGCUCAGAGAGCAAAUCCUACUCAUAAGAGCACCAUAGAUUUGAACUGGUUGUGCAGGCAGAUAACCCAAACACCCUAGUAACCACCCUUGAGAUCAUUGACCACAUCGUAGGGAAUGGGAGUGACGGUCUCAAUUGUGGUACCCUCGACCAUGAACCCAGGUUUAGGGCCGAGUGGCUGCCUCUUGGUGCUGAUGACCUCACCGCGCGCCUUGGCUUCCGCCUUGAGCUGGUCGUUCUUCACUUUCCUCAG
rnacentral:lncRNA from 1 species